GUGGGGAAUAUUGGACAAUGGGCGAAAGCCUGAUCCAGCCAUGCCGCGUGUGUGAAGAAGGUCUUCGGAUUGUAAAGCACUUUAAGUUGGGAGGAAGGGCAGUAAGUUAAUACCUUGCUGUUUUGACGUUACCGACAGAAUAAGCACCGGCUAACUUCGUGCCAGCAGCCGCGGUAAUACGAAGGGUGCAAGCGUUAAUCGGAAUUACUGGGCGUAAAGCGCGCGUAAGUGGUUUUGUAAGUUGGAGGUGAAAUCCCCGGGCUCAACCUGGGAACUGCCUACAAAACUGCAUGACUAGAGUACGGUAGAGGGUAGUGGAAUUUCCUGGGUAGCGGUGAAAUGCGUAGAUAUAGGAAGGAACACCAGUGGCGAAGGCGACUACCUGGACUGAUACUGACACUGAGGUGCGAAAGCGUGGGGAGCAAACAGGAUUAGAAACCCCGGUAGUCC
rnacentral:rRNA from 1 species